CUCUUUGUUCCGGAGUCAACCGGCCUCGGUCCUGGGAUCGCUGAUUCCACGGAGGAGAGCCAUACCUGGGCGUCUCCACCCCCCACCCCACUGUCUCUGGAGACCAAGGCCGGCGCCGGGGGAGGCGGGUGUGCGGGCGCGCGAGCCGAGCCCUUUGUUCAGGAGAACAUUCCUCAGCGCCAGCCUCCCCACCUGGAGAGCCUGUGGUUCCUGUUUCAGGCUUUGCCUUGGAGAAACUCUCGCCGAGUAUGCAGCUCUCAAGCCUGGCUUCUGGCGCAUCCUACUUCAUGGCCUUCAACGGGUCCUUUGACCUCCCUGAACCUCAAUUUUCUCACUUGUAGAAUGGGAACCAAAAUUCUGACGUCGAAUGAUCGCUGUGAAAUUAAAUUAAAUGCCAAAACACAAAUGUAGAGUAUCUGCAGGCAUAAGGUGAAUGUUAGAUACUUGCGUUUGGAAGACCUUCACCGAAAGAAGCUAACAUUUUUGUAUUGAGUUCACCCUACUCCCCCAUCCCGCUUUGUAUGGGCAAUUUGUAGUCCUCCCAAAUCUUUGAAAUCUCACUUUCUUAGUAAAGACUUUCCCUGAUUUCUGGGGCACACCCUCAUGGAGUCACCCUCUGGCAUAUUUCCAUAGCAUGCUGUAACGUCUAUUAAAAUAUUUGCAGUUACUUUUUUUUUAAUUGAGACUUAAUUUGCAUUCAGCGAAAUACACACAACUUGGCAGGGCGCGGUGGCUCGCGCCUGUAAUCCCAGCACUUCGGGAGGCCGAGGCGGGCAGAUCACCUGAGGUCAGGAGUUUUGAGACCAGCCUGGCCAACAUGGCGAAACCCC
rnacentral:lncRNA from 1 species